AUGAAUAAUCAAGUUCCUUCACAGAAACUACUAACAUUUUUUGACUGUGUUGUUUUUUUUUUUUUUUUUUUUUUUUUAUCCCUGAUGACCACAUCUACCCCGCCUCUCGGGUUUGGCUCUGGAUGCUUUUCCUCCCUGUUGCAGAUCCCGCCUGCACUCCCUCCCUUCGCAGCACACCUGCCACAGUCAGCCUUCCAUGGGACAAUCUGGGACACGUUUCCAGCAGGCAUCCCUCAAAGGCAUGAGGACAGUGCCAGGUCUGUUCCGCGGCAGUUGUCCCCUAUGUACCCUGGGUUCCUAACUGUGGCUUACACUAUGCAAUUAGCUCAGCGGUUGCAGCCAGGGCUCUGAUUUCGGAGGCUACCAGCCAGACACAUGCUUUGACGUAACACAUUUCAAAAUUGAGGCAUAACUUACGUGGAGUACCAGGCCACGCCUUAGAAACUCAGAGACCUGACUCUGGGAUCGAUAGGUGGGCUUAGCAGACGGGUUCAAGGUCCUCAAAUCCGUAUCCGGUGGUGAGAUAACACGUUUUGGUCACUUUGCAUUUGAAUCAGAACUUACCACUUUUAUUUAGUACAGAGAAGCUGUGAGCUACUCUCCGUCUGCUUUUUCAAUGUAUCCCAGGGAACUGGGCUUGAUGCUUUGCCAGGGGGUGGGCAUUUGGCCUUGACCUUGGUAUCCACGUCGAAAGCCUUUAGCUGUCCUCCAGAGGAGCCCGCUUCCCACUCUUGCCUGGGGGAGAGGGUCGGGAGGGGCCAGAGACAGGCAGACACCAGUGAAGGGAGACAAGGCAAAGAAGAACUGACCCCCGCCACCCCCGCCUCCAGUGCCAGUAUGUGUGAGGCGCUACUGCGCAUUUCCAACAUGGGACCUCUUUUUGUUCGUUUGGUCAAUAAUCAGCACAUAGAAAUUCAGCAAAUACUCCACACCAUUUCUUUCUGUCGUUUUGGAUGGAAUUUCCCUUGUAUUUGUAAUACUUUGAAAAUUACUUAAUCUCUCAUUAAAUCGCUGGAGUGUGCCUUUUUAAAUGAUGUUUGCAUAGGCCAUUAAUCAGAAUGAAUAAAAGAGAAGCCCUACGAUCCA
rnacentral:lncRNA from 12 species